AGGGCAUUUGGUGGAUGCCUAUGGCAUUAGAAGACGAUGAAGGAAGUGGGAGACUGCUGAAAGCUUCGGGGAGCUGUCAACCAAGCUUUGAUCCGAAGAUAUCCGAAUGGGAAAACCUGCUUAAAGAGACUUUAAGCAUCUCUAUCUGAAUUUAUAAGGUAGAGAAGAUAACGAUAUGAACUGAAACAUCUAAGUAGUGUCAGGAAAAGAAAACGAAUGUGAUUCCCUGAGUAGUGGUGAGCGAAACGGGAAGAGCCCAAACCUAUGUUAUGUAAGAAGUUACUCGUUGUAACUUAGGUGUAGCGGGAGCAAAGGUCCUAUAGGUAACUUUAUAGGGUUGAGUGUCUUAUUUAGCUGAACCGUCUUGGAACGGACGACCGAAGAAAGUGACAGUCUUGUAGGCGAAAAGUAAGAAGAGCUUGAUAAUUUGUUUCCCAAGUAUUACGGAGCACGUGAAAUUCCGUAAGAAUCUGCCCAGACCAUUGGGUAAGGCUAAAUACUCUCUAAUGACCGAUAGUGUACGAGUACCGUGAGGGAAAGGUGAAAAGAACCCCGGGAGGGGAGUGAAAAGAACCUGAAACCAAAUGUCUACAAUCGGUGGAAGUGAUAUAUACGUAUGCACAACCACGUACCUUUUGCAUAAUGAGCCAACGAGUUAUCCCUACGUUGCAAGGUUAAGCUUUGAAAGAGCGAAGCCGUAGCGAAAGCGAGUCUGAAUAGGGCGAUUUAGUAGCGUGGGAUAGACCCGAAACCUAGUGAUCUAUCCAUGGACAAGAUGAAGUCUGAUUAACGUCAGAUGGAGGUCUGAACUCGUGUGGGUUGAAAACUACUGAGAUGAGCUGUGGAUAGGAGUGAAAGGCUAAUCAAACUGGGAGAUAGCUGGUUCUCUUCGAAAUAUAUUUAAGUAUAGCCUCGAUCGGAUGUUACAUGGUGGUAAAGCACAGUUUAAGCUAGGGGGCGUAAGCCUACCAAACUUUUACUAACUCUGAAUGCCGUGUAUCGUAGAAGACGGGAGUCGGACUGUGGGGGAUAAGCCUCAUAGUCAAAAGGGGAAGAGCCCAGACCAUCAGCUAAGGUCCCUAAAUAUCUGUUAAGUGGUAAAAGAGGUGAAAAUACACAGACAACCAGGAUGUUGGCUUAGAAGCAGCCAUCAUUUAAAGAAAGCGUAACAGCUCACUGGUCAAGUGUCUUUGCGCUGAAGUAUGAGCGGGGCUCAAACAGAUUACCGAAGCUAUGGAUUACACAUCUUUAAGGUGUGUAGUGGUAGAAGAGCGUUCUCUAAUGGAAAGCUUGACCGUAAGGACAGGUGGUGUGUUAGAGAAGUGAGAAUGUUGGUAUAAGUAACGAAAAAACAGGUGAAAUUCCUGUUCGCCGUAAGCCCAAGGAUUCCGAGAGAAAGGUUCAUCCGCUCAGGGUUAGUCGAUGCCUAAGCCGAGGCCAAUAGGAGUAGGCGAUGGGAAGCAGGUUAAAUAUUCCUGCACCACUUUUAGCGUUUGAGCGACGGGGUGACGCAGUAAGCUAAGCAUACAUGGCGUGUGGAUGCCAUGCUAAGCAGGUAGGAGGAUUUUGUUGGUAAAUCCGCAAAGUCAACUCUGAGAAGUGAUUGAUAUAUCAAUCUAAAGAGAGAGGUAUAUUAUGCUGAUGCUACACUGACUAGAAAAACCUCUAGCGAGCAAAAAAGUGAUCGUACCGGAAACCGACACAGGUGGGCGAGUUGAGAAUACUAAGGCGUUGAGAUAACUCUCAUUCAGGAACUCGGCAAAAUAGCCCCGUAACUUCGGGAAAAGGGGUGCCGUUGUUGUCAUUCUGUUUUACACAGAAGAAGCAAUUGACGGUUGCAACAAAGAGGUUCAAGCGACUGUUUAACAAAAACACAGGGCCAUGCAAACUCGUAAGAGGAAGUAUAUGGUCUGACGCCUGCCCAGUGCUGGAAGGUCAACAGGAGAUGUCAAUCGUAAGGUGAAGCAUCGAUUCGAAGCCCCAGUAAACGGCGGCCGUAACUAUAACGGUCCUAAGGUAGCGAAGUCCCUUGUCGGGUAAGUUCCGACCUGCAUGAAUGGCGUAACGACUUGAACGCUGUCUUGAUGAGAAACUCAGUGAAUUUGUAGUGCUUGUGAAAAUGCAAGCUACCCGCAGAAGGACGGAAAGACCCUGUGCACCUUUACUGCAGCUUGGCAUUGAUUUCUGGAUUACCAUGUGUAGGAUAGGCGGGAGGCUUUGAAGUUUCGGCGUCAGCCGGAAUGGAGCCAAUGGUGAAAUACCGCCCUUGUUGAUUUGGUAAUCUAACUCCUUUCCAUAAUCUGGAAGGAGGACAUUGUCUGGUGGGCAGUUUGACUGGGGUGGUCGCCUCCCAAAAUGUAACGGAGGCGUUCAAAGGUUCCCUCAAGGCGAAUAGAAAUCGUCUUAAAGAGCGCAAAAGCAUAAGGGAGCUUGACUGCGAGACAAACAGGUCGAGCAGGUGCGAAAGCAGGAUUUAGUGAUCCAGUGGUUCUGAAUGGAAAGGCCAUUGCUAAACGGAUAAAAGGUACGCCGGGGAUAACAGGCUGAUCUCCUCCAAGAGUCCAUAUCGACGAGGAGGUUUGGCACCUCGAUGUCGGCUCAUCGCAUCCUGGGGCUGGAGAAGGUCCCAAGGGUUUGGCUGUUCGCCAAUUAAAGCGGUACGCGAGCUGGGUUCAGAACGUCGUAAGACAGUUCGGUCCUUAUCCUCUGUGGGCGUAGGGUAUUUGAAGGAAGCUGUUCCUAGUACGAGAGGACCGGAAUGGACAAACCUCUAGUGUUCCAGUUGUUCACCAAGAGCAAAGCUGGGUAGCUAGGUUUGGACGGGAUAAUCGCUGAAAGCAUCUAAGUGAGAAGCCCCUCCUAAGAUAAGAUACCCCUUGU
rnacentral:rRNA from 1 species